rnacentral:rRNA from 1 species
CACGUAGGCGGCGACGUAAGUUGGGUGUGAAAUCCCUCGGCCCAACCGAGGAACUGCGCCCAGUACUGCGUUGCUUGAGGAUCAAAGGGGUGCAUGGAAUUCCCGGUGGAGCGGUGAAAUGCGUUGAUAUCGGGAGGAACUCCGGCGGCGAAAGCGGUGCACUGGUUGAUUUCUGACGCUGAGGUGCGAAAGCCAGGGGAGCAAACGGGAUUAGAUACCCCGGUAGUCCUGGCCGUAAACGAUGGGCACUAGGUAGGGGGAAACCAAACGUCUCCCUGCUGGAGUGAAUAUAUUAAGUGCCCCGCCUGGGAAGUACGGUCGCAAGGCUGAA